rnacentral:rRNA from 1 species
UACAGAGGGUGCGAGCGUUAAUCGGAAUUACUGGGCGUAAAGCGCGCGUAGGCGGCUUUGCAAGUCGGAUGUGAAAGCCCUCGGCUUAACUGAGGAAGUGCACCCGAAACUGGAUAGCUAGAGUACGAAAGAGGGUCGCGGAAUUCCCGGUGUAGAGGUGAAAUUCGUAGAUAUCGGGAGGAACACCGGUGGCGAAGGCGGCGACCUGGGUCGAGACUGACGCUGAGGCGCGAAAGCGUGGGGAGCAAACAGG